UACGUAGGCAGCAAGCGUUGUUCGGAAUUACUGGGCGUAAAGAGUGUGUAGGCGGUGCUCUAAGUCUGUUGUGAAAUCUCCCGGCUUAACUGGGAGGGUGCGGCGGAGACUGGAGUGCUAGAGUGUGGGAGAGGUAAGCGGAAUUCCUGGUGUAGCGGUGAAAUGCGUAGAUAUCGGGAGGAACAUCAGUGGCGAAGGCGGCCCUCUGGUCCAGUACUGACACUCAAGUGCGAAAGCGUGGGGAGCAAACAGG
rnacentral:rRNA from 1 species